GUUCUGGUAGUUUAAUUUAGAAUGUGGCGGUGAAGUUGCUGUGGUAAUGUUAGGUUCUAGGACA
rnacentral:tRNA from 1 species